GUUCUUCGGAGCUAGAGACCGGCGCACGGGUGCGUAACGCGUAUGCAAUCUACCUUUUACAGAGGGAUAGCCCAGAGAAAUUUGGAUUAAUACCUCAUAGUAUGUGAGAAUCGCAUGGUUUUCACAUUAAAGUUCCAACGGUAAAAGAUGAGCAUGCGUCCCAUUAGUUAGAUGGUAAGGUAACGGCUUACCAUGGCGACGAUGGGUAGGGGUCCUGAGAGGGAGAUCCCCCACACUGGUACUGAGACACGGACCAGACUCCUACGGGAGGCAGCAGUGAGGAAUAUUGGACAAUGGGCGCAAGCCUGAUCCAGCCAUGCCGCGUGCAGGAUGACGGUCCUAUGGAUUGUAAACUGCUUUUGUACAGGAAGAAACACUCCCUCGUGAGGGAGCUUGACGGUACUGUAAGAAUAAGGAUCGGCUAACUCCGUGCCAGCAGCCGCGGUAAUACGGAGGAUCCAAGCGUUAUCCGGAAUCAUUGGGUUUAAAGGGUCCGUAGGCGGUUUAAUAAGUCAGUGGUGAAAGCCCAUCGCUCAACGGUGGAACGGCCAUUGAUACUGUUAAACUUGAAUUAUUAGGAAGUAACUAGAAUAUGUAGUGUAGCGGUGAAAUGCUUAGAGAUUACAUGGAAUACCAAUUGCGAAGGCAGGUUACUACUAAUGGAUUGACGCUGAUGGACGAAAGCGUGGGUAGCGAACAGGAUUAGAUACCCUGGUAGUCCACGCCGUAAACGAUGGAUACUAGCUGUUGGGCGCAAGUUCAGUGGCUAAGCGAAAGUGAUAAGUAUCCCACCUG
rnacentral:rRNA from 1 species